UACGGGGGGGGCAAGCGUUUGUUCGGAAUUACUGGGCGUAAAGGGCUCGUAGGCGGCCAACUAAGUCGGACGUGAAAUCCCCAGGCUCAACCUGGGAACUGCGUCCGAUACUGGAUGGCUUGAAUCCGGGAGAGGGAUGCAGAAUUCCAGGUGUAGCGGUGAAAUGCGUAGAUAUCGUGAGGAAUACCGGUGGCGAAGGCGGCAUCCUGGACCGGCAUUGACGCUGAGGAGCGAAAGCCAGGGGAGCAAACGGG
rnacentral:rRNA from 1 species